UACGUAGGGUGCGAGCGUUUGCCGGAAUUAUUGGGCGUAAAGAGCUUGUAGGCGGUUUGUCGCGUCUGCCGUGAAAAUCCGGGGCUCAACCCCGGACUUGCGGUGGGUACGGGCAGACUAGAGUGUGGUAGGGGAGACUGGAAUUCCUGGUGUAGCGGUGAAAUGCGCAGAUAUCAGGAGGAACACCGAUGGCGAAGGCAGGUCUCUGGGCCACUACUGACGCUGAGAAGCGAAAGCGUGGGGAGCGAACAGG
rnacentral:rRNA from 1 species